rnacentral:ncRNA from 1 species
UUGAGCCGUAUGCGGGGAAACUCGCACGUACGGUUCUUAGGGGGGAAUGGUGCAGUAAUGUACUGUUCCUACCCGAC